rnacentral:rRNA from 1 species
CAGCCGCCGCGGUAAUACGAAGGGUGCAAGCGUUACUCGGAAUUACUGGGCGUAAAGCGUGCGUAGGUGGUGGUUUAAGUCCGUUGUGAAAGCCCUGGGCUCAACCUGGGAAUUGCAGUGGAUACUGGGUCACUAGAGUGUGGUAGAGGAUAGUGGAAUUUCCGGUGUAGCAGUGAAAUGCGUAAAGAUCGGAAGGAACAUCUGUGGCGAAGGCGACUAUCUGGGCCAACACUGACACUGAGGCACGAAAGCGUGGGGAGCAAACAGGAUUAGAUACCCCGGUAGUCCCUGUCUCUUAUAC